AUUGAACGCUGGCGCAUGCCUUAACAUGCAAGUCGAACGGUAACAGGUCUUCGGAUGCUGACGAGUGGCGAACGGGUGAGUAAUACAUCGGAACGUGCCCGAUCGUGGGGGAUAACGGAGCGAAAGCUUUGCUAAUACCGCAUACGAUCUACGGAUGAAAGCAGGGGACCGCAAGGCCUUGCGCGGACGGAGCGGCCGAUGGCAGAUUAGGUAGUUGGUGGGAUAAAAGCUUACCAAGCCGACGAUCUGUAGCUGGUCUGAGAGGACGACCAGCCACACUGGGACUGAGACACGGCCCAGACUCCUACGGGAGGCAGCAGUGGGGAAUUUUGGACAAUGGGCGAAAGCCUGAUCCAGCCAUGCCGCGUGCAGGAUGAAGGCCUUCGGGUUGUAAACUGCUUUUGUACGGAACGAAAAGACUCCUUCUAAUAAAGGGGGUCCAUGACGGUACCGUAAGAAUAAGCACCGGCUAACUACGUG
rnacentral:rRNA from 1 species